rnacentral:lncRNA from 13 species
CAUGGAGUUGCUGAUUUCCUGAUGGAGAUUUUACUACUUUGUGCCUGGCAGUUGCCUAUUGCUGAGUUCCCCAAAAAAUAGAUGGUGACCUUGAAUAGCAGUGAAGCCCAGCUUCAGGGCAGAGAAACAAGCAUGGGAGCAGAGUUGGGGACAGAGAGAUAUCCGGGCUUGCCCUCUGUGGUUCAUCCAGCUAAGCUUGCUCAAUAUAGAUGCCCAUAGGCCUAGUGAUUUAUAGAAUCCUUGUCAUGUACCAAGCACCCAACUAGAUACUCAAGUACAAGAUGAAACAGUCACAAUUUUAUUGCAUUUAUCUCACAAUAAAGGGUUUAAAGAAUACUCUAAAAAAUUAUAAUAGAUAACUCUUGCCAGUGUUAAUUAUCAUAAUAACUUGGAAUUGUGGUCAGAAAUUCAUUAAGGGGACAUACAUUAAUCCUCACGUUAAAGAAUUUCUAUUCACUGAAGAAAUAGUGAGAAGAGAGACUAUCUCAGAUAUGGAAAUAAAAUUGUUAAAGAAUAAUUUUUUCGAAAGUCAAAUCACGACUGUUAUAAAAUAUAAAAUAGAUAUAUAUCACAGAUUUUACAUAACUAAUUUUAAUCUUUUUCAUUAUUUAAGAAAUCCAUAAGAUGUAAAAAACAAUUUUUAAAAGGUACAAAAUAUGUGCCUAUAUGAACACCUAAGAAUGUGAAAAUAAAUUUGCUAUUACAUGCAAAAUUGGUGUCUUCAGCAGGCUAGAAAUCAAUUUCAUCUCCAUCACACAAAACUCAUUUGCGUUUCUCUGAAGAGGAGCUAUUUGCAUCACCAUCAUCGCUUCACAAAUUAUCUCCACAGUGAUGCAAAAUAGUUAAAGAGAAUGAAAGGCACACGUCCUUAUGGAAUCCCAUAACCCCAGAAGUGUCCUUGAGAUAAUGCUCAACAUCCCAUCGCAAAGAUCAUAUACCUACAAGUAUGCAAAAGAAAAUAAACUAAAAUUUAUCUACUCAGAGAAAAAACUAUUUUGGGACAUUUUCUUAAAGAAAACAAGUUACAGUGAAGGUGUUAAGAAAAUGGGAUAAUAGAAUGAGUGAGCUUCAGCUGCUGCCCAGGAAUCCUGUGUCAUGCAAAGUGGUGGAUAAUAAAUGAAUAGUGGUAAGACA